rnacentral:rRNA from 1 species
GACGAACGCUGGCGGCGUGCUUAACACAUGCAAGUCGAACGGAGCGAAUGAAAGCUUGCUUUUAUGAGCUUAGUGGCAAACGGGUGAGUAACACGUAGACAACCUGCCGACAGGAUGGGGACAACAUUCCGAAAGGAAUGCUAAUACCGAAUGAAGCGGAGGAGAGGCAUCUCUCUUCCGUGAAAGAUGGCCUCUGAAUAUGCUAUCACCUGUCGAUGGGUCUGCGUCUGAUUAGCUGGUUGGUGAGGUAACGGCUCACCAAGGCGACGAUCAGUAGCCGGUCUGAGAGGAUGAACGGCCACAUUGGGACUGAGACACGGCCCAGACUCCUACGGGAGGCAGCAGUGGGGAAUCUUCCGCAAUGGGCGCAAGCCUGACGGAGCAACGCCGCGUGAGUGAAGAAGGUCUUCGGAUCGUAAAGCUCUGUUGAUGGGGACGAACGUACGGAGUGCGAAUAGUGCUCUGUAAUGACGGACCUAUCGAGGAGC